GAACUCAAAGUUGUCCAUCCUGUGUAAGUCUGUGCAUGCUGGGGCGUACCUGAAGUGGAGCAGUAAGUGCGGCACAUCAAUGCAAGGUUGACAGCGACACCUCCUACCCUUGUGCAUGCAAUUUACAUCUGAAAUAGCACGGCGGGCAGUGGAGGAUCAAUAAAUGAACAACAAGGUAACGGUUACAGCUUGGAUUUUUGGAAACCUUAAUGUUGCUGGGCAGUACGGAGAACAGAGGGUUCCAGAAUUGGAGAGGAAUGUACACCACAGUGUACGAGAGCAAGAAGUUUUCAUCAAGCAAAUGCUCUGAUUCCUUCUCUGUCCCCCGAAGUAGUGUUAANNNN
rnacentral:lncRNA from 1 species